GAUGAACGCUGGCGGCGUGCUUAACACAUGCAAGUCGAACGGAAAGGCUCCUGCUUGCAGGGGUACUCGAGUGGCGAACGGGUGAGUAACACGUGGGUGACCUGCCCUGCACUUCGGGAUAAGCCUGGGAAACUGGGUCUAAUACCGGAUAGGACGAUGGUUUGGAUGCCAUUGUGGAAAGUUUUUCGGUGUGGGAUGAGCUCGCGGCCUAUCAGCUUGUUGGUGGGGUAAUGGCCUACCAAGGCGUCGACGGGUAGCCGGCCUGAGAGGGUGUACGGCCACAUUGGGACUGAGAUACGGCCCAGACUCCUACGGGAGGCAGCAGUGGGGAAUAUUGCACAAUGGGCGCAAGCCUGAUGCAGCGACGCCGCGUGGGGGAUGACGGCCUUCGGGUUGUAAACUCCUUUCGCUAGGGACGAAGCGCAAGUGACGGUACCUGGAGAAGAAGCACCGGCUAACUACGUG
rnacentral:rRNA from 1 species